GUGCCAGCAGCCGCGGUAAUACAGAGGUCCCAAGCGUUACUGAGAAUCACUGGGUUUAAAGGGUGCGUAGGUGGUCCGUUAAGUCAGUUGUGAAAUCCCCGGGCUCAACCCGGGAACUGCUUCUGAUACUGGCGGACUUGAGGCCAGUAGAGGUCACUGGAACUGACGGUGGAGCGGUGAAAUGCGUAGAUAUCGUCAGGAACGCCGGUGGUGAAGACGGGUGACUGGGCUGGUUCUGACACUGAGGCACGAAAGCGUGGGGAGCGAACGGGAUUAGAAACCCUCGUAGUCC
rnacentral:rRNA from 1 species